AUGGUAGGUUGGUUAGAGGGUUAAAUUGUACUUUCACUAUCUUUCUUACUAAAAAGGAUAAUCCUGAAUUCAUAUGGAAUUAUAUAGCUAUUUUGUUGGUGGGUUGUGUAUACAAGGUCUUAUCUAAAGUUUUGGAAAACAGGUCGAGACAAGUUAUUGGUAAGAUUAUUUUCGAUACUCAAUCAACUUUCGUGAAAGGUAGAUAGAUACUUGAUGAGAUUCUGAUUCCUAAUGAGGUGGUGGAAGGUGCGAAGAAAAAUAAGUCAGAUUUCAUGAUGUUUAAGGUAGAUUUUGCGAAAACGUAUGAUUCAGUUGAGUGGAGUUACUUGGACACGAUGAUGUAUAAAUCAAUUUUCAGAAUGUGUUGAGAUGAUGGAUUAAGGAAUGUCUCAAUACGACCACAACAUUGGAGCUAGUUAAUGGUAGUCCCACUGAGGCUUUUUCUAUAGGAAAAAUAUUUUGCUAAGAAGAUCCCUUAUCUCCUUUUUUUUUUCUUUCCUAUUUGUUGAUGAGGUUUCGAAUGGUUUAAUUUUUAUGGUGAUAUUCAUGGAGAUGGUUAUCCUUUGGGGAGAGGAUGUUUUGCGGGUGACUUAUCUUCAACUUACAGAUGAUACAAUGAUCGUGGAUAAAAAAUCUCGAUCGAACAUUACAAUUUUUAAGUCUAUUUUUCUAUUAUUUGAACUAAUUGCUGAUUUGAAGGUUAAUUUUCACAAAAGUUUGUUGGGUUGCUGAUUGGAGGUAAUUCACGUAGACUGGAUUUCUAGAAUGCCGCUAUCGUUCGAAUUAGAGCAAGGUUGUCGUUUUGCAAAAGCUGUAAUGUAUCUAUGGGAUGCCACCCUGUUCUCUAAAAAGCUGCCUUAUAUGCCUUACCGGUUUACUCUGUUUCUUUCUUUCUUCAAAGCUACCUCGAGUACUAUUUCUAAAUUUAAAUAUUUAUUUACAUCUUUUUUUGGUGAGGGUUAACUGGGAGAAAGUUGGUUUGUCUAAGAAAAAAUGGGGUUUGUGUGCGUAAUUUGAGAGCUUUUAAUUUAGUGUUGUUGGGAAAUUGGUGUUGGUGGUUAAGGGUAGAUAAUAGUGGUUUAAGAUUUAAAGCGUUGCAGAAAAAAUAUGGGUUGGAAGAUUGAGGGGGCGGAUAGGAGGAAGCUCAAUGCAUCUACUUGGUGACAAGAGGUUUGUAAAAUUGAGAAUGGAGAGAUGCUAUAUUUGGUAAUUGAUUUUCUACUAAUUUAUCAAAGUUGAUUGGUUUUGGAAAAAUGUCGUUUUUUUUUUGGGGUGAUAUGUGGGUUGAUGGUGUUGUGGUGAAGAAACGAUUUAAUAUCCUUUUUAGCUUGACAUUUAAUAAAUAGGUAUUUGUGGGUGAUAUGCUUUGUGCUGAUCUGAGGUUUGAGGUUGGAUGUGGCGACAUAGAUUCUUUAAUUGGGAGAAGGAGUUGGUCACGUGUAUGGAUUUAUUGACGAAUGUUAAUUUGUAAGUUAAUGUUAAAGAUGGCUACUCGGUGAAUGACGCUUACCAUUUAUUAAUGUAAGAUCUGAAUUCUGAGAGAUCUUUUAUUUUAUUUUUUUAUUAAUUUUUUUUAUGCUAGUUGGACUAAAUUUGUAUCGACGAAUUUAUGCUAGUUGGAUCGUUUUUAUGCUACUAAGGAUAAUUUGCUUUAGAGAGAUUUUA